CACAUACUCCCUCUGUCCGAAAAAGCUUGUCCUAAGCUUGUCCCUCAAAUGGAUGUAUCUAGCACCAGUGCUAGAUACAUCCAUUUAAGAGACAAGCUUUUUCGGACGGAGGUAGUACCUC
rnacentral:pre_miRNA from 1 species